rnacentral:rRNA from 1 species
AGCGAACGCUGGCGGCAGGCCUAACACAUGCAAGUCGAACGGUAGCACAGUAAGUGCUUGCUCUAACGGGUGGCGAGUGGCGGACGGGUGAGGAAUACACCGGAAUCUACUUUUUCGUGGGGGAUAACGUAGGGAAACUUACGCUAAUAACGCAUACGACCUGCGGGUGAAAGCAGGGGAUCUUUGGACCUUGUGCGAUUGAAUGAGCCGAUGUCGGAUUAGCUAGUUGGCGGGGUAAAGGCCCACCACGGCGACGAUCCGUAGCGGGUCUGAGAGGAUGAUCAGCCACACGGGAACUGAGACACGGUCCAGACUCCGAGGAGGAGCAGCAGUGGGGAAUAUUGGGCGAGGGAGGCGAGGCGGAUCCAGGCAUACCGCGUGGGUGCAGAUGGCCUUCGGGUUGGAAAGCCAUUUUGUUGGGAAGGAAAAGCAGCAGGUUAAUACCCCGCUGUUCUGACGGUACCCGAAUAAUAAGCACCGGCUAACUUCGUG